CCAGAAGCAUUCUAUAAAACAAAUGAAUAAUUACUUUCCAGUUGGAAAAUAAAAAGGUGAAAAAAUAUGAGAUCAGAGCUAAAGAGUCAAACAAAUCAAAGAUCACGAAAUCGUACCAACUUUUAAGUUGAAAGAUGCCAUACUCCAUUCACUUGGGCAUCCUCCUCCCAGUUGAGACACACCCCAACUGCCAUACUUCAAGCUUCUCAAGAGUUUUCCAUUCUGCUUCAUAUUUAUACCCUGUUAGAAUGAUUAUACCCCAGUGUGCAUAACUGCUGCAAGCACUAGCAUGUCAAAAGCAGCACCCUGCACAUUUAUAGUUCCAUAAAGACAGCUACUUUGGUAAGUAACAGUCAUUAUGUAAAAACUUCUCUUCUCAGCAAUUCUUGUGGAUCCAUAAGUGCUACAUUAGAUUUGAAUCAGAUUUCGGAUCCAUCUAUAUUGAUUGACUGCAAUCCAAGAAGUGGAUGAUUAGUCAUAAACUGGUAGAAAUCUCAAAGAAACAGAACUGCAGCAUCCUCAGCCAUGUACUCAGCCAUUCUACUCAUGACCAAGCCACUAUGGCUUGAUAAAAACAUAACCAGUUAUUUACAAACUUUUCCACCCACAAGCAUAAUUGAGGCACACACAAAGCCCAUCAUUUAAGGGUCACCUAAAUUAUUACCUUCCUAAUUUGACUGAACUAAACAAAUUUAUAACAAUUGAAAGAAGCUAUUAAUUUUCAUGAAAAUGAGCAUCUCAUGAAUGAAAGCUUCAGUACAACACCUUCCACCUAGACCAUAGAUGUAGAUUCUCACCACAAGCUGGACCCCAGCACACACUAUCCUGUAAUUUGUCGUUGACAAUUGAAAUAGUCUCAACAAUCGAUGACAACAUUAGCAGCGAAGUAAAAAUCUUGUCCUACACGAGAAUGCAAUUGAGCACAUCAAUAAGAUUCAACUCCUAAAGUAUAUAAAUCUAUAAAAUGAGCAUAUUAAUUCUGUAUGAUAUGUGAUUAAAGUAACUCACUGCUGAUUCACUGAUAGAUAUGAGUCAUUAAUUUCCUUGAUUCAUAAUUUAACGCAUGUAUCAAACAAUGUAACGUCAAAAACAU
rnacentral:lncRNA from 1 species